UGAUCCUGGGAGUCACUAUAAUAGCCUUAUAAAGACCUGUAGAAGAAUGAUUUCAGUGAUCUAUUAUUCAAAUUCCUAUCCAUCUAUAGGCAAAAGGAAGAAAUAUUUUUUUACCCCUAUGUUUUUUUUGUAGGAUACAAGAGAAAAUAUCAAAAAUGCAGGAGCCCCUGGUGGUACCAAUCAAAGUGCUCCUGGUACACCAAUGGAUGACAUAGACUGACUCUGCUCUGAACUUUGGAUCUCCAAUCCAGUUUAAAAAAACAAACAAACAAACAACAACAACAACAACAACAAAAACAGAUGUGAACUGUGAAUAUGUCUUAGAAACUGCAGAGCAGAGAAGAAAAUUAGUCUCCUUACAGAUGUCAUGGACAAGGAAACCUGAGCCUACUCCCAUCAAUUUCGAUGGUAGGCUCAGACUCACUGAACUUUGGUUGUCCUCCUCAAAGUGACACAGACAGAAUAGACUGGGAAACCAGAAGUUUAUAGUUAGAUGGUUGCUUCUUCUGGAGCCGGGAACUGCAAACAUAAUGACAUGAUUACAGCACUGAAAAGUGAUCUAAAGUAAUAAAACAGAGGAUAUUUACCUUGAGGACAGUUGUGUUUUGUUGUAUAUUUAAGAGAAAUAACAUGUUUGGCUAAGAUACUUCUAACACACAGCUUUUUUUUUUUUUUUUCUUUUUUUCUUUAAUAUGUAAAGGUUUCCAGAGUGACUCAUGAGAGCAGCGCUCAAAUUCCUGUUUCAUUAGCUGUCUCAGUAGAUAUGAACCGAGCUGUUGAGAAGAUAGGAGCUGCUGCAAACUUACUGCUAGUUCUUUACCAGCAAUUUUAACUUUUUGGUGUUUCAGAUUCAUUGACAUUGUCAUUUUUUUUUCUGCUUUCCUGACUGAGACGGGAUUUGUACUAACAGGCAGGAGUGUUAUUGUUCGACUGCUAAUAGCUAAGCACUGUGUUUAGCAGGGGUAAGGGAAGCAGGUAGGUUAAGGACAUAGAAAUACAACUUUCAGGGUACUUCAGGUCCCCCUACCUGCUGCUGCACUUCCCUUAUUCACUUUCAAAAACUUAGCUAAUUGGAUCUUGACAUAAUUUAGUUUUCCUGACUCCUCCAUUCCUGCAGUGAUGAUGCACCACAACCUCGAUCCUCUGUUGUCUGAAGACCUUUUAAUUUACAUGGGAAGUAUAUGUAUGACUAAUUUAUACCACUUGAUUUUUCUUUUUACUCCUGUUUCCGUUCCAGCUUGCUCUUUAGCUGGAAUAAUAUUUUCUCCUUGCUGAUGUUUACAGACUGAUACAUUAACUAACAGUGAUCCUGUUCUCCUGGAGCUUUAACUAAACUGAAUUCUUCACCAUGCACUGUAUUUCAGAGCAAGCUCUAGCAGUUCUCUCUACCAUGACAUUGCUACUUCAUCCUGGAAAUAAUUCACCUGGUGCAUCCUAAGACCACACUGGCUUUUUCACGGAGUUAUGUUAAUAGCUGAAAUUGUCAGUGGUAUCUCCCAUAUGCAUCUGUAGAAAAUUGUUGGAAAGUGUUCUACAAAGACCAAGAGAAAUGUCAAAGGCAAGUGCAGAGAGUGAACAUGACUACGUGGGAAGAAGAGUGAAGAUUCAUGCCCAGAAAACAUUAUUCUUACCUCACACCAGUUUUACUUCGUGUUACUUCGUUGAACAUGCUAGGAUGAGAUCAGCUAGCUGUACAAUGUGACGAUCAGGAUAUUUACAGCACGGGAUGUGACCUUCGGCUGCCCUGGGAAGAUAUCACGCUCUGAGCUGAACUUGGAAACUGAACCAGGAGGGUCAAGAGGAAGAGGAGCAACUCUCAAACCUGGUAUCAUUAGGUAGGAUAUG